UUUAUUGUGAUGCGACAUUUGGGGCUGCAAAUAUAUCUGUCCUGCAGCCUUGUCCAAAGGGACAUUACUGUCCUGAAGGAACUGGUAUUGCCAAACAAUUCCCAUGCCCUGCCGGCACCUAUAACCCCCAUGAGCUCAUGGACAGCCAAAGUGACUGUCUGUUGUGUCCGUCAGGACAUUACUGUCCAGAUGUUGGACUUGAAGAACCUAUAGGACUAUGUUUGGCUGGUUUCUGGUGCAGAGAGGGCUCCAAUUCACCCAGUCCUGUGGAUGGUUCUACAGGGGCCGCAUGCCCAGCUGGUCACUACUGUCCUAAAGGCACUGCCAUUCCUAUGCCCUGUCCGGUGGGAACGUGGUCUAAUAGUACAGGACUAAGGAGUGCUGAGGAGUGCCAGUCAUGCCCUGGAGGGUUUUACUGUGCCUCUACCGGCCUGAAUGAACCUAGUGGACUCUGCUCUGCUGGGUUUUAUUGUGCUGAGAAAGCUGAGACUCCCACUCCCACUGAUGGCAUCUCCGGCCACAUCUGUCCAGAGGGACAUUACUGUCCUCCAGGAACCACCCACCCUGUUCCAUGUGAUCCUGGGACUUUUGUAACUGUCACUCAAGCCUCUUGGUGCUGGCCCUGCACAGCUGGCUGGUACUGUGCGGAUGGAGCCCGGCAGCUG